rnacentral:rRNA from 1 species
CGCGUAGGCGGCUUGGUCAGUCAGAUGUGAAAGCCCCGGGCUUAACCUGGGAACUGCAUUUGAUACUGCCAAGCUAGAGUGUGGUAGAGGGAAGUGGAAUUCCGGGUGUAGCGGUGAAAUGCGUAGAGAUCCGGAGGAACAUCAGUGGCGAAGGCGGCUUCCUGGACCAACACUGACGCUGAGGUGCGAAAGCGUGGGUAGCAAACA